rnacentral:rRNA from 1 species
AAUGAACGCUGGCGGCAGGCCUAACACAUGCAAGUCGAGCGAGGACUUGGGUUCUAGCGUCGGACGGGGUAGUGACCCGUGGGAAUGUGCCCUUAUCUACGGACUCGCACUGGGAAACUGGGAUUAAUACCGUAUACGACCUACUAGGGAAAGAUUUAUCGGACAACGUUUAGCCCGCGUUGCAUUAGGUAGUUGGGGGGGUAAUGGCCUACCAAGCGGUGGAUCCAUAGCUGGUUUGGGAGGAUGAUCAUCCACACUGGGACUGAGACACGGCACAGACUCCUACGGGAGGCAGCAGUGAGGAAGCUUAGACAAUGGGGGGAACGCUGAAGUAGCCAUGCCGGGAGAAUGAUGUAGGUCGGAAGGUAGAAAAGCUCUAGCAGCUAGGAAGAUAAUGACGGUACCAACAGAAGAAGCCACGGCUAACUACGUG